GAGCAAUGCGCCGCUGCCCUGGCAACCGCAAUCAACACAGUGGAGGCGAGAAGUCUGGCCUUGCGCCGGCCGGGCAGCUUUUCGCCAAGGCUCCUGUGGGAUGGGAUAGCUUGUUCUCUGGGCUGCAGGAACCAAAACAUUAGACCACCUUUUCUGUGACCUUGGGCAUGCCGCCCUCGGUUCCGAGCCGCAAGUCUUUUUUUCGGGGAAAAUGAAAAGGGGUCAAGAUUUGGACCAGAUGACACCCAAUGUCCCAUUCAACGGUCGCAUUCUGUCAUCCAAGGAAUUAGUCCUGUAUCCGAAACAUUCUCUGGUAGUCAAAAGCUGUGAGCAAAUAAUAAGAAAAAAAUUACAAGCAUAAGAUGUGAAGGAGGCCACACUUAAAAAAAAACUUGAGAUGAAAUGAUGCAUUCAAGACACAGAGAAGCUGAAUAAAUUGCCAAGGUUCACACAGCUAGUAAUUGAACUGAGCUGGGUACCUGGAGCUUUCCUUGGUUUCAUUUGGAAGGACACUGACUAAGGAAAAACAGAGAAAAGCAUGAAACCCAAGCCAACUCUGCAACUCUAUUAAAAACACUAAGACUUCAAUAUGAACCUGGCAUGGUGGGCACAGUUGAGCACUGCAGGUGGCUUGCCUCCAGCAGAAGGAAUACUCAGCUCUAGAUGAUUGCCCUGAAGAAAUUCAUGCCCACUGGAGGCAGUGCAUUUUUCAUGGCUAGAGCUUCAGCAGCUAUCUAGAACCAUAUGGUGGAAGCCACUUACUGAGAACUGUGAAACAAAAGCCCGGGUCCCUGACAUAUGAAGCCACCAUACCUACCUUAAAGUGUCUUUCACUUGAGGGAAAAAUACAUCUUUCUUAGUAGCCUGAUCUGAUCAUGGCAGACGGGAGGCAGGACUAGGCUGCAGCUCCGACCUGGAUGGACAGAGCAGGAUUGUGAAUUUUAGCUCCAGAACGACUGCAAGACCAAACCAGCAAUCGCGAGAUGACUCACAGAGCUAAUGAAGGAAGCUGACUGCUCCUGCAGGACCUGGGAGACAUCCCAAAUACUCCUCAGGCAGGGCCUUUCGGAGGUAUUCCAGAAGAAGAUAUCGUUACCAUAAGAGACGACAGCUCCAUGCAUGUUAUUGCCCCUAAACACCUUCUGGUGAGACAAGAUACAGAGGUGGAAGACGUUGAUAUUGACAAUUCUGACCCUGUGAAAGCUUAGGCUAAUGUAUGUGUUUGUGUUCUAGUUUUAACAAAAAAGUUUUAAAGUUAAAACAGUUAAAAAAACUGCAAAUAGAGGAAAUGCUUAAAGAAUAAAGGUAUAAAAAAGAAAA